rnacentral:lncRNA from 1 species
GGGGCCAUCAGAUACGCAUUGGCUUCGACCUGCGAAAGCCUUCCGGUUUUGCAGUGUCUUUUCCUCACCCCACCCGAUCCAGCUCAUGCAGGAAGUGAUGAUUGCAUGAAAGGAAAACAAAAAAAAAAAUGCAGAAAAGAAAAUAACACUUGCAUGGCUGAUGGAGGAGAUGAAUUCUGCUCUCUGACCGCAAUUUAUGAACAAC